rnacentral:rRNA from 1 species
GACGAACCGUGCGAACGUUGCUCGGAAUAACUGGGCUUAAAGGGUGCGUAGGCGGGUCUGCAAGUCUGUGGUGAAAUACUCCCGCUUAACGGGAGAACUGCCGUGGAUACUGCGGACCUCGAGGAAGAUAGGGGCGUGCGGAACAGUUGGUGGAGCGGUGAAAUGCGUUGAUAUCAACUGGAACUCCGGUGGCGAAGGCGGCACGCUGGAUCUUUUAUGACGAUGAGGCACGAAAGCUAGGGGAGCAAACGGG